UAUGUGGAAUAUUUAUUUAAUUUGCUUUCCCACUCUGCUAUAUGCAGCCAGACAUUCUGAAAUCUCAAAAGUUUUGUUGGAAAAUAAAUGUUUGUUGCUUAUUUUAUGUGUUAGCAAGAGUUGCCUGCCUGCCAUGUGCUUGGGAAUUUCCUUUGGCUUUUUCUGUUAUGUGAAUACAUCCCCAUUAAUUUAAACAGGCACUUUGUUUGGAGAGAUUUACUCUUUGCAUUCUCAUAGUUACUCGCCAUUAUACAUUUUCAGUUAACUGUGCUAGGCUAUCUGAUGGAAGAUUUCUGUUGGAUGAGAAAAAGUAUCAGGGAGUUUUAUUUCUCAUAAGCUAGUCCUUUUGUAAGUUUUAUAUGCCCUGGCAGGCCUUAGCUUGGACCAUUCACAUCUUCUUCCAUCUCAUGUAUGAUUAACAUUAUCAUGUUUUUUCCCCUCCCUUCUUUGUGCUUCAUUCUUUGGCUAUGAAUAAGAUGUGUUUUCCUCUUUCUAAGACUAUAUGGAUUCUUCUAUCAUGCUCGCUAAGUACCGAGGUGCUUCCAUCUUCAUUUCCCUAGUUUACAAUUAUUUGGAAUUUUAGCUUCUGUCUACAACUUAUUGGCACAAAUUAUAAUUUCUAAUAACUGAAUACCAACAAAAGGAAGCUGCGGUCAGUCCAGACAACACAAUGUUAGUUUUUCUGAGUCACUUCCGGAGUCUGCUCUGUACAUGCUUAUGAAAUGCACCUUCAGUCUUUUAGCACUUCCUGCUGUUUCCCUUUCCCUUUCCUCUUCAUUUCUUAUAAAUAUCUGAGCUUGUAGUGAACUGUCUUUAUCUUUUCCCUGCUUGCGUCAGCUAUACCAUUCUUUCUAUCGCGCACCUCUUUUAUUUAAGUUCUUAAUUUUCUUUUUAAAAACUUAAACGUUCUACACAUGCUUUUCUUUUCUUAUGCUUCUUCCUAGUUCAGGCAAUCACAAUGGGUGUAUUUUUCCUUUCUUCAAAGAUUGGGCAUUUUCUUUAGAAUAUACAGAUUUUUUAAGCUGCAUAGUUACUUUGUUGUUCUUACGUAGUAAUUACAAUAUGGAGAGGUUGCAUAUCAAACUAACCAGUUGCUCCUGCUCCUAUUUUCCAUGCACCUCAUGUUUCUUGUUAUUUAACCUAAUGUUAAAAAUGCAGAUGCACAACACGAAGCGUUAGACUCUUUUAUGAAACGAGGUGUAAGCUUCAACGCAUGACACGUAAGCCUCAUGAGUCGACUGUUGUUUGGAUGGAGGGUAGAGAAGAGUAAGAGAAGAAAAGUGGUCACUUAACUCCAUUUGGGAGUUCUUAUUUUAUUUUAUUUUAUUUUUUGGAGAGAGGUAAUGGACGGUAGGGAGGGAAAUUUUACAUAAAAACAUGUUCCUUUUGUUCCCUCCCAAAUUGGGGUGUAGAGGGGAAGAGAAUUAAUCAUAAGAGGUCUAGUUUUUGGCCUUCUGUCCUUGUGGAUCAAUGGCUGAUAUUUGAUGAUGAACCCUUCUUUUUCGCUUCCCUUCCCUUUAUUAGAAUCCCAAACAUGGUGAAUCUCUUUAUUAGAAUCCCCAAACAUGGUGAAGUAAGUUUCCAUUACCCUUACUAAACUCCCAAACAAGAUAUUAUAUUUUCUCACUUCUUCUUUAUCUUCUAUUCCUCUAUUUUAUCUUUCCUUUCCUUCCCCUAGUAAACUCCCAAACAAAGUUAAGUAUAUUUAAUUAAAAUUUAUAAAUAUUAUAAACAUACAAUAUAUUGUGGUAUACAAAUAGACACAUUCACGUCUUGAUUAGUAAAUAUAAAUUAAAUAUGCUUAAGAGAUGUAAAUCAUAAUAAACUAAACUACAUAUGUUAAAUAUAAAUAUUUCUUAUAGUCACAUGAUCAUAUUGAAGAAACAUGAUCUAAAGUUAAAUUGUCUUAAAACCAAGAUCACCUGCUACAUGGAUUCAAAACUCCAGAUAGAAAUAGACUAGGAACUAGGCACACUUCCAAAAAAAGAGAAAAAUACCAAAUUCUACAUAUGAAUAUAAAAACUAUCCUAACACACGAAGGAAAAAAAAACCCUAAAUUGUUGAGUAAAAGUUGAAGAAGAUGAUUAUGUUGGCUUUUAAUUUCAAUAAAAGGAAAAAACAUCUUGGAACUGAGGAAAAGAAAAUGAAGAACUUGGGCAUUUUAAGUUUAGUUAAAAAUCUUUUUAUAUCCUUCCAUCUUGUCUAAAGCCCUGCAACUCAGCAAAAAUAAAAAAAAUAAGAAGCCCUUCAUGAAGCGCUAAGCACAUAUUUUAGUUAUGAUUUAAGUGAUGAGGCGUAUGUUUCAAGGGAUGGAUAUCUCCUCCUUUGAGUUUCAAAGCGAUUAUCCUUUGAACAGCUUUUAUGCGAGUUUCAAAACUGAGUUUUGAGAAGCUUUUCCAAAUGCUGAAUUGACCCAUUGUUUUUACCCUUUGGGUAGAAAAUGGUUUUUCCCUUGUCGAUGUUAUUCGAUCACUGUUGUUAUCAAGCAGGUAACUUCCUCAUGCUGCAAACAAUACUAGUUCUACAUGAAGUGCCAAACACCCGAAGUUUUCUGAUUUGUCUCAUAUUUAAGCAAGCAAACAAUUCAAAAAUCUGCAUUACGUUCCAAGAAGCUAUAUCCAUGGAGUUAUGCGGUAAUAGCUCUUAGUCAUCUGACAAGCUGAUUUCAGAUGUUCGGUGCUCUUUUUACUACAGAGUUAUAGUGGCGAUAGCUCUCAGUCAUCUGGCGUGCUGAUUCCAGUAAAAUUGCUUUGUCCUCACCGUGAGACUGGUGUUGACUGCAUGCAUGAGCGGUUAUUAUAAUUCUAUGGGCUUAAAAGGAAUUUAGUUUCAAGCUUUUUGUAUGAAUGUAUUACCAGAAAAUAAAAAAAACCUUGAUAAACCGAAGUCACAUACUCGGGCAGUCAUGUCAUAGCCAAGGAGAACAUUGCUCGGCUUCAGAUCACAGUGCACAAUCGGUGUUUGACACUGGUGAUGAAGGUAAUCCAGCGCCAAGGCAAC